GCUUCAUCAUAUUAUAGAAUUGUUCAAGUACUUGUAAGUGGCUCUUCACAUGGUAGAUAGUCAAACCUUCAACAUUCAUAAGCUUUAAUACACCCUUUGGGGUUGCAUCUGCAUCAUGUAAUAAAAUAAAUGAUUUU